CUGUGAUGUGGUAAUUCAAGGUUCAAAGACUCUCAAGCUGACCUCUUCAAGGCCAUGGCACCCUGCACGUUAGUCUGAAUCCUCUUCUGAUAUAUUGCAAGUAUUUAAGUAACAUACAUUAUGCAGCCAUACAAGGAAGACUAAAAGAAGAAAAUCCAGGAAACAAUGAUGAAUAAGAAUAUAUAAAAUUUCUGUUCUCCCAGAUUUUAUCUUACAAAUAAGCAGAUAGAGGUCAAUAAAGCAGUGGGGUGUGCAGAAGCACAACAAAGCAGAGAGACAUACAGAGAAGAACGACACAGUGAGUAAACCUGGACCCAGGGGAAGAGAAAGUUGGUUUGACUUGAGAACUGAAGGCUUGGAUUUUUCUAGGCGAAAAGAAGAGGGAAGGAUGCUUCAAGAAGAAAAUGUGGCAUGUGACUCUGUUCCACGACAGGCUGCAGUAGCUCAUUCAAAUUGGCUAAAAUCAAAAGGCACUACAUUUUAGAAAAUCUGAAGUUUAAAUUACUAAUAGUUUACAACUGUAUUGCACAAUGGACCCUUUGAUGGAGUCUCAAGUCUGGUUUUAAGGACCAGGAACCAGGACAUCGACAGUCACUGAGUCUACAACAGUGGAAGGAAGAAGUAAUGCAGGCAGUAGUUGGACCACAAAGCAGUCUGUUUCAUCAAGAUACUAUGUGAAGAAUGAAGUUUUGAUUCAGAACAGCCGAUUCAAACCAGGUUCACUGGGGCUGUGGCUCGUUACCUGAAAAGCUCUCAAGAAUAACAAAUAUUCUUGUCACAUGGCGGAACAAUUGAGUCACAGUUUCUGGAGGUGAGAGUGUCAAGACAGGGGUGAAAGAUCUGGAGAAGAGCCAGAAGUGAGUUUGUUCUAGAGUCACCACAGUGAGCAGAAGAGAAAAAAGACCCUUAUUCCAUGGUUAGAGGACACAGCCUUGUUGAAAUGCUGCCUGUGCACAAGCUGAGAAGACCCACUGUCACUUGCCAAUGGCUUCAGCAUAUGCCAAGAUUUGAGAUGUGAGCUGGAAAGGCUUAUGUAGCAUGGGUGCUCCUGGAGAGUUGCAGUCUGGAAGGCAGGCCAGCAGGGCUCCACCCAAGGGAGAGCACGGGACUCACUUGGACACCUGUAGGAAAUCCAGGACCUAGACUCCACCCCAGCCCCACUGACUCAGAGGAGCAUCCAGACAGGAUCCUCAGCUAGUCCACUAGCCUGAACCAGUGGGUCUCAAGCAGGCUGAGCGUGAGACACACCAGAAGAAUGUAGAAGCUGUAGGGAUGCUCAUGUUGUACCUUCCACCUCUUAACUCAGUGUGCUCUAUCGCACCUUU
rnacentral:lncRNA from 1 species